rnacentral:rRNA from 1 species
AUUGAACGCUGGCGGCAGGCCUAACACAUGCAAGUCGAGCGGAGCGGGGGUCGGGGGAGUGAUGCCUAGGACUCUGCCUGGUCGUGGGGGAUGACGUCCGGAAAUGGGCGCUAAUACCGCAUACUCUCAGAUGAGCCUAGGCCGGAUUAGCUAGUUGGUGGGGGAAAGGUCUACCAAGGCCACGAUCCCUAACUGGUCUGAGAGGAUGAUCAGUCACACUGGAACUGAGACACGGUCCAGACCCCUACGGGAGGCAGCAGUGGGGAAUAUUGGACAAUGGGCGAAAGCCUGAUCCAGCCAUGCCGCGUGUGUGAAGAAGGCCUUCGGAUUGUAAAGCACUUUAAGUGGGGAGGCGUUACUAGCAGAAUAAGCACCGGCUAACUCCGUGCCAGCAGCCGCGGUAAUAC